GUUUAGUUUUAAAGUAGACAUGUCAAGCUUUCUAUAGAUAUCUCUCUCAUGUCUCUUCGUUGAGUAUUCACGGAGUUACACUUCAUUUUAAUGUACUGUCAUUACAUUAAAUGAACUGUCAAGCAGCUGAUCGCUGACACUCAGUGUGGUUUCACUUUUUUUUAGGUAAGUUUAGUCUAUUAAAUUACACAAAUAGUACAUUAAAAUGUUCCUGACACUUUAUUUCAUGUAAAUUGUACGCUUUCGUUUAAUAUUUACUUUAUAGAAAUGGUUUAGCGUCGUCAGAAAAAGUCAGUUAGCAUCUCAAAGGUAAGGCUAACUACAAGAGGUAAGGAUAGACAUGAGCUCUUAUUUAUUAAGUUUGGGCUUUUAAUGUCAUCUUGUGUGUAGAUGCUCUCUCUCUCUCUCUGUCUCUCUCUCUCUCCAUAUAUAUCAAUGGAUGAAUGGAAGUAACUUAACCGAAUUAAUUUAACCCUAAAAGUAUGCACUGUUUAAUCCUAAAAUGUGCACUAUCGUAACCGGAUAACGUUACAUCACUUACAUAUAGCGUGAAAAUGGACAAAAACCUUCAGGUUUUGAUCUUUCAUGGUAAACACAUAAAUACAAACUUGUUCUGUGAUUUCAGAAGUGCCAGAAAAAAAACAUCUAUGACACAGGAGAAGUUCCUGAUUUUAACAUUUCUGAAGGGAGCUUCUGACAGAGAGGAUGAAAACAUACACAUUUUGAUGUCCACGCUGUAGGAGCAUUACUACAUAAGUAAAACCUAAAUAUAUAUAUUUAUUGUAAAUGAUUAUAUAAAUUAUAUAUUCUGUGAAUAAUUAUUUUUCUUUUCUGCAUUUCACCUCUGCUAUAGUUUAUGCCUUAUACCUGGCAUUGUAUAAUAAAUAUUGUUGUCUCUGUGACAGUAUGCGUAUGUUCCUAGGUUCUUCCAUGCUGAUGGCUGUGCUCUAGUCAUAUCUCCUGUCGAAGAACAUUUUUAGACCUUAUGAACCAUGAAUAAGUUUAGCUCCAACCCCAGUUAAGCAGACCUGAGCAGCUGAUCAAGGAUCAGCAGAAACUCUGCAGAACGGUGGUCCUUCAGCCCAGGACUGGACACCAGUGUUGAGUGUCUGUCUCAGAAGCUGAAGAAAAAAGGCAAUACCUUAUAGGAAAUAAACGCCUCCUAAGUGUACGUGUAGCGCCUCUAGCUUGCUGAACUAUAAUGAGAGGUGGCUAUCCUGAGUUCUUUAACUAUCUUUUAAAUCAAAUAAGUGA